UACGUAGGGGGCAAGCGUUGUCCGGAAUCAUUGGGCGUAAAGAGCGCGUAGGCGGCCCUGUAAGUCCGCUGUGAAAGUCAAGGGCUCAACCCUUGAAUGCCGGUGGAUACUGCAGGGCUAGGGUCCGGAAGAGGCGAGUGGAAUUCCUGGUGUAGCGGUGAAAUGCGCAGAUAUCAGGAGGAACACCUAUUGCGAAGGCAGCUCGCUGGGACGUUACUGACGCUGAGACGCGAAAGCGUGGGGAGCAAACAGG
rnacentral:rRNA from 1 species